AUGUCUUCUUGAGUGUCAGCUAGGAUUACGUAUCUGUUCUUAUCAGUUUAAUAUCUGAUACGUUCUCUAUUCAAGAACAAUAUAUUAAAUGGGUUUUUGGAAAUAGGAGAUGGAAUAGGAUCUUGUCUUGUCACUUGUACACAUUGAUCUGCUAUUGCAGUAACUUCAGGAAUGGUGUAUCCCCU
rnacentral:snRNA from 1 species